UUGAACGCUGGCGGCAGGCCUAACACAUGCAAGUCGAGCGGUAGCACAGAGAGCUUGCUCUCGGGUGACGAGCGGCGGACGGGUGAGUAAUGUCUGGGAAACUGCCUGAUGGAGGGGGAUAACUACUGGAAACGGUAGCUAAUACCGCAUAAUGUCGCAAGACCAAAGUGGGGGACCUUCGGGCCUCAUGCCAUCAGAUGUGCCCAGAUGGGAUUAGCUAGUAGGUGGGGUAACGGCUCACCUAGGCGACGAUCCCUAGCUGGUCUGAGAGGAUGACCAGCCACACUGGAACUGAGACACGGUCCAGACUCCUACGGGAGGCAGCAGUGGGGAAUAUUGCACAAUGGGCGCAAGCCUGAUGCAGCCAUGCCGCGUGUGUGAAGAAGGCCUUCGGGUUGUAAAGCACUUUCAGCGGGGAGGAAGGCGAUAAGGUUAAUAACCUUGUCGAUUGACGUUACCCGCAGAAGAAGCACCGGCUAACUCCGUGCCAGCAGCCGCGGUAAUACGGAGGGUGCAAGCGUUAAUCGGAAUUACUGGGCGUAAAGCGCACGCAGGCGGUCUGUCAAGUCGGAUGUGAAAUCCCCGGGCUCAACCUGGGAACUGCAUUCGAAACUGGCAGGCUAGAGUCUUGUAGAGGGGGGUAGAAUUCCAGGUGUAGCGGUGAAAUGCGUAGAGAUCUGGAGGAAUACCGGUGGCGAAGGCGGCCCCCUGGACAAAGACUGACGCUCAGGUGCGAAAGCGUGGGGAGCAAACAGGAUUAGAUACCCUGGUAGUCCACGCCGUAAACGAUGUCGAUUUGGAGGUUGUGCCCUUGAGGCGUGGCUUCCGGAGCUAACGCGUUAAAUCGACCGCCUGGGGAGUACGGCCGCAAGGUUAAAACUCAAAUGAAUUGACGGGGGCCCGCACAAGCGGUGGAGCAUGUGGUUUAAUUCGAUGCAACGCGAAGAACCUUACCUGGUCUUGACAUCCACAGAACUUAGCAGAGAUGCUUUGGUGCCUUCGGGAACUGUGAGACAGGUGCUGCAUGGCUGUCGUCAGCUCGUGUUGUGAAAUGUUGGGUUAAGUCCCGCAACGAGCGCAACCCUUAUCUUUAGUAGCCAGCGGUUCGGCCGGGCACUCUAGAGAGACUGCCAGGGAUAACCUGGAGGAAGGUGGGGAUGACGUCAAGUCAUCAUGGCCCUUACGACCAGGGCUACACACGUGCUACAAUGGCAUAUACAAAGAGAAGCGACCUCGCGAGAGCAAGCGGACCUCAUAAAGUAUGUCGUAGUCCGGAUUGGAGUCUGCAACUCGACUCCAUGAAGUCGGAAUCGCUAGUAAUCGUAGAUCAGAAUGCUACGGUGAAUACGUUCCCGGGCCUUGUACACACCGCCCGUCACACCAUGGGAGUGGGUUGCAAAAGAAGUAGGUAGCUUAACCUUCGGGAGGGCGCUUACCACUUUGUGAUUCAUGACUGGGGUG
rnacentral:rRNA from 1 species